AGGGAUCUAGCCAGCUAUUUCGCUGCAAUUCUGUCUCCGGUUUCUUGUAAUUGCGACAUCGAGUGACACAUGUUUGAAGAUGCAACAUGAAGCUGCAAGCGAUUAGUAGGCUUUCUUUAUGGUUUUAAUUGCUUUUAUAGAGUCCCCUCGCUCUUGUCCUUUGAAGUUUUAUUUUAACAGAGGGGUAGGUAUUGUAUUUGGGUUUAUAUGACUUCUUAUGUAUAAGAAUUACUAUUAAUAAUACUUAUGUGAUUGUUAUUGUUAUUUGCAA